rnacentral:rRNA from 1 species
AUGCCACCGCUGCCUCUGAUCCGCUGUCUGGAGUGCAACGCCGGCAACGUGCUCUGGUUCGUCUCUGGAACGGUGGAGAACCCAGGGAGGCAUUUCUACAAGUGCGAACGCCAUGGAUUUGGUGGAUGCAGGUUUUGGAAGUGGGAGAACAAGUAUAUACAGUACUUCAGCAACCGCUGGGGUCACCUGCUCUCGCACGCAUCCGUGUAUCGGCAUGUAACUCUGCUUGAGCAGAAUCAAGCAUGGUUGAAGAACAUUUUCAUCUUGGGCGUCCUGAACAUGGUGCUAAUGGCCAUAUGCUGCGUGCACAAGUUCUGA